UACAGAGGUCCCAAGCGUUGUUCGGAUUCACUGGGCGUAAAGGGUACGUAGGCGGUCGGGUAAGUCUGAUGUGAAAUCUCACAGCUUAACUGUGAAACUGCAUUGGAUACUAUCCGGCUCGAGGAAUGGAGGGGAGACUGGAAUACUUGGUGUAGCAGUGAAAUGCGUAGAUAUCAAGUGGAACACCAGUGGCGAAGGCGAGUCUCUGGACAUUUCCUGACGCUGAGGCACGAAAGCCAGGGGAGCAAACGGG
rnacentral:rRNA from 1 species